rnacentral:rRNA from 1 species
GAUGAACGCUGGCGGCGUGCCUAAUACAUGCAAGUCGAGCGAAGCGGGGACGGGUGAGUAACACGUGGAUGACCUCCUAUAAGCCUGGGAUAACCUCGGGAAACCGGAGCUAAACCGGAAUCUUAGAGCUGGAUCCACGGUGCAUUAGCUAGUAGGAAGGGUAACGGCUUACCCAGGCCACGAUGCAUAGCCGACCUGAGAGGGUUAUCGGCCACACUGGAACUGAGACACGGUCCAGACUCCUACGGGAGGCAGCAGUAGGGAAUCUUCCGCAAUGGGCGAAAGCCUGACGGAGCAACGCCGCGUGAGUGAUGAAGGUCUUCGGAUCGUAAAACACUGUUAUUAGGGAAGCGGUACCCAAUCAGAAAGCCACGGCUAACUACGUGCCAGCAGCCGCGGUAAUAC